rnacentral:rRNA from 1 species
UACGUAGGGUGCGAGCGUUAAUCGGAAUUACUGGGCGUAAAGCGUGCGCAGGCGGCUUUGCAAGACAGAUGUGAAAUCCCCGGGCUUAACCUGGGAAUGGCCGUGGAAACUGGCGGGCUUGAGUGUGGCAGAGGGGGGUGGAAUUCCGCGUGUAGCAGUGAAAUGCGUAGAGAUGCGGAGGAACACCGAUGGCGAAGGCAACCCCCUGGGCUGACACUGACGCUCAGGCACGAAAGCGUGGGGAGCAAACAGG